CCCCUGUCCUCCCCGGGGGGAACCAGGGACACUUUGGGGACACUCUGGGGACAUUUUGGGGACCCUCAGGCCACCAAAUGUCCCCACAGAGAGGUUCCAGGACACUUUGGGGACCCUCUGGUGACACUUUGGGGACAUCUGGGGACAUUGGAGCCCCUCUGGGGACCCUCUGGUGACACUCUGGGGACAUUUGGGGACACUGGGGCCCCUCUGGUGACACUUUGGGGCCACUUUGGGGACACUGUGGCCCCUCUGGUGACACUUUGGGGACAUUUGGGGACACCGUGGCCCCUCUGGUGUCCCUCUGGUGACACUGGUGACACUUUGGUGACACUGGUGACACUCUGGGCGCCACUCGGGGCCGUCACU
rnacentral:lncRNA from 1 species